AUUAGAACAACAUGCAGUUCAACCCCUUCAUGUUUCAAUGAGGGUUCAGAUACCCAGAGGGCUAUGUGAUCAUCCUGGAGCCCACUCUGCUAACAAUUAGCAGAACGGAAGCCUUAAUUUCCAGAAUCUAGUGAACUUGAUGAGUCAAGACCAUUGCAAUUGGAAAUCUGUUCUCCUCUGCUGCUGCAUCCCCCGCUUAAUACUCAAGCCAGAAACCAGGAAGGCUGUGGCUUGCCUUUUCACUUCUUGUGUCCUGUUUAAGAAAUAUCUGCUAUCCCAAGAUAACACUAACAAAGUUGACCUUAGAAUUGGAGUGCCCGGGUUAGAACCUUGCUGGUACCACCUGCUUACUGCAUGCUUCUGAUGUGAGUUCAGGAGAAGCCACUGGCAAGGACAGCAAAGAACAGGAGAACACUCUAGCUUCCCUGAUAGCAUUCAAGGUGCUGUCCAAAAGUUUCACUCUUGUCACCCAGGCUGGAGUGGAAUGGCACAAUCAUGGCUCACUGCAACCUCUGCCUUUCCGGUUCAAGCAAUUCUCCUGCCUCAGCCUCCCCAGUAGCUGGGACUACAGGCAUGCACCACCAUGCCCGGCUAAUUUUGUAUUUUUAGGAGAGACGGGGUUUCACCUUGUUGGUCAGGAUGGUCUCGAACUCCUGACCUCAGUUGAUCCACCCUCCUCAGCCUCCCAAAGUGCUGGGAAUACAGGUGUGAGCCACCGCGCCCAGCCUAAUUUUUCUUACGUGAGAUACAGUUUACUAAAGUCCACCUUCCACUUCUUCCUUCGUAUAUACAGAGAUGGCAUUUCCUAGCUUCUCUAGCAAUUAAUUGUGGCCAUGAGCUUUGGGCAGCGGAAUGUGAAUGGAUGUGAUGUAGCCACUUCAUAUGUGUUUCUCUGUGUCCUUUCCCCUUCUAGCUGACUGUGAUGGCACCCUCCAGACAGACAGCGAUGCCACAUGUUCAAGAUGGCAGAAUCACUAACAGCUUCAAUUCCUGAAUGACUGCAGAGCAAAAUUUCUUACCCGCAACAUACACUCUAUUUUCAGCCUCCCUGGACUGUUACAUAAUGAUACAUAAAAAUAUUUCUUGUGUUGAGGCAUCCCAAAUUUGAUCUAUUUGUCAUCACAGUUUAUCCUACGAAUAUAUUUCUGAUCCAAA
rnacentral:lncRNA from 1 species